CCGUAUUUCUCAUUGAAUUGUGUAUUCUAAUUGAAACAUCUGUCUAGUGAGGGAAGAGGUUUAAUUACCUUGACAGUAGGAAUGGAGCAGAUUUCAGGUUAGCUAAACUGUAAAGUUAGCAAGUUCAUUGGGCAUUUUUGCAGAAGCUGUGCAUAGGUGAAAUUUGGGCAUGGUCACCCCAGGACACCAUGUUAUUGGUGGGAGGAGGGAAACAAUCUCUGCCCGAAAAGGGGGAGCCUGAAGGGCUGAACCUGCAAUCUUCGUAACCUACAAACACAGCAGAGACGCCUCCAGCGUGUCGGGGAGUCAGACACAAGACUGCAGACAGAACUACAAUGAAAGCUCAUGUUUCAGAGCUUCCAGAAGAGGCUUGAACCUGUGAUCUGAUCUACUGCAUGUGUCUGCAAAGCAGGACUGAUGACCUCCAAGGCUCUCUGAGGUGUAAUUAUGGAAUCACAAAGUAUUUGGGAAUGGAAGUGACCUCUGGAGAUCAUCUAUACCAACCCCCUGCUAAAUCAGAUUCACCUAGAACAGGUUGCACAGGAUCACAUCCAGCAAAUGAUUCACUUGAUGAGGAAAAUUUAACCCUGAAGUCAAGCAGUAUGCCUGUCUGGUUGUGAUAUGCUUAUACAGAUUCCUGAAAGCUAUUGCUGCCCCUAAUUAAUUCUGUGAUGAUAGCCUGAGUUAUUUUACUUCAAUUUUGCACUUCAUUAAUAAAUGUACUAUACAGGA